rnacentral:rRNA from 1 species
CUGUCGCUAUGGGAGUGGCCCGCCAGUGCAUUAGCUAGUUGGUAAGGUAAAGGCUUACCAAGGCGAUGAUGCAUAGCCCGAGUUGAGAGACUGAUCGGGCCACAUUGGGGACUGAGACACGGGGCCCAAACUCCUACGGGGGGAGGGGCAGCAGUAGGGGGAAUCUUCCACAAUGGACGCAAGUCUGAUGGAGCAACGCCGCGUGAGUGAAGUAAGGUUUUCGGAUCGUAAAGCUCUGUUGUUGGUGAAGAAGGAUAGAGGUAGUAACUGGCCUUUAUUUGACGGUAAUCAACCAGAAAGUCACGGCUAACUACGUGCCAGCAGCCGCGGUAAU